GAUGAACGCUGGCGGCGUGCCUAAUACAUGCAAGUCGAGCGAACAGACGAGGAGCUUGCUCCUCUGACGUUAGCGGCGGACGGGUGAGUAACACGUGGAUAACCUACCUAUAAGACUGGGAUAACUUCGGGAAACCGGAGCUAAUACCGGAUAAUAUACUGAACCGCAUGGUUCAAUAGUGAAAGACGGUUUUGCUGUCACUUAUAGAUGGAUCCGCGCCGCAUUAGCUAGUUGGUAAGGUAACGGCUUACCAAGGCAACGAUGCGUAGCCGACCUGAGAGGGUGAUCGGCCACACUGGAACUGAGACACGGUCCAGACUCCUACGGGAGGCAGCAGUAGGGAAUCUUCCGCAAUGGGCGAAAGCCUGACGGAGCAACGCCGCGUGAGUGAUGAAGGUCUUCGGAUCGUAAAACUCUGUUAUUAGGGAAGAACAAAUGUGUAAGUAACUACGCACGUCUUGACGGUACCUAAUCAGAAAGCCACGGCUAACUACGUG
rnacentral:rRNA from 1 species